rnacentral:rRNA from 1 species
ACGGAGGAUGCGAGCGUUAUCCGGAUUUAUUGGGUUUAAAGGGAGCGCAGACGGGAUGUUAAGUCAGCUGUGAAAGUUUGCGGCUCAACCGUAAAAUUGCAGUUGAUACUGGCGUUCUUGAGUGCAGUUGAGGUGUGCGGAAUUCGUGGUGUAGCGGUGAAAUGCUUAGAUAUCACGAAGAACUCCUAUUGCGAAGGCAGCUCACUAAACUGCAACUGACGUUCAUGCUCGAAAGUGUGGGUAUCAAACAGGAUUAGAUACCCUGGUAGUCCACACGGUAAACGAUGAAUACCCGCUGUUGGCGAUAUACGGUCAGCGGCCAAGCGAAAGCAUUAAGUAUUCCACCUGGGGAGUACGCCGGCAACGGUG